rnacentral:tRNA from 1 species
CAUUGAAUGGCUGAAAAUAUUAAGCAUUGGUCUCUUAAACCAUAUUAUAGUGUAAACACUUUCAAUGA